rnacentral:rRNA from 1 species
AUUGAACGCUGGCGGCAUGCUUUACACAUGCAAGUCGAACGGUAACAUGAAGAAGCUUGCUUCUUUGAUGACGAGUGGCGAACGGGUGAGUAAUGUAUCGGCACGUGCCCAGUAGUGGGGGAUAACUACUCGAAAGAGUGGCUAAUACCGCAUGAGAUCUCUGGAUGAAAGUGGGGGACCGCAAGGCCUCACGCUACUGGAGCGGCCGAUAUCAGGUUAGGUAGUGGGUGGGGUAAAGGCCCACCAAGCCUGCGAUCUGUAGCUGGUCUGAGAGGACGGCCGGGCACACUGGGACUGAGACACGGCCCAGACUCCUACGAGAGGCAGCAGUGGGGAAGUUUGGACAAUGGGCGCAAGCCUGAUCCAGCAAUGCCGCGUGCAGGACGAAGGCCUUCGGGUUGUAAACUGCUUUUGUACAGAACGAAAAGGCUCUGGUUAAUACCCGGGGCUCAUGACGGUACUGUAAGAAUAAGCACCGGCUAACUACGUGCCAGCCGCCGCGGUAA